GAGCACAGAGCAGCCCUGCCCUCUGUCCACCUGCCUGGAGCCCUUGACCAUGGCGGCCCUGGCAGCCACAAUAUCCAAGCGCCGUGCUGCGGCCGAGGGUCUUGGCUCCAACCAGAAAGCCGUGAAGUACUUGGGCCAGGACUUCGAGACCCUGAGGCAGCAGUGCUUGGACUCAGGGGUCCUAUUUAAGGACCCAGAGUUCCCAGCAUGCCCAUCAGCCUUGGGCUACAAGGACCUCGGACCACACUCCCCCCAAACUCAAGGCAUCGUCUGGAAGCGGCCCACGGAAUUGUGUCCCAGCCCUCAGUUUAUCAUUGGCGGAGCCACACGCACAGACGUCUGUCAGGGUGCUUUAGGUGACUGCUGGCUGCUGGCGGCCAUCGCCUCCCUCACCUUGAACGAAGAGCUGCUUUACCGCGUGGUGCCCAGGGACCAGAACUUCCAGGAGAACUACGCAGGAAUCUUUCACUUUCAGUUUUGGCAGUACGGCGAGUGGGUGGAGGUGGUCGUGGACGACAGGCUGCCCACCAGGGCCGGGGAGCUGCUCUUCCUGCACUCCGGAGAGGGCCGUGAGUUCUGGAGUGCGCUGCUGGAGAAGGCCUACGCCAAGCUCAACGGCUCUUACGAGGCUCUCGCUGGAGGGUCCACAGUGGAGGGGUUUGAGGAUUUCACAGGUGGCAUCUCUGAGUUUUAUGACCUGAAGAAGCCGCCGGCCAGUUUGUAUCAGAUCGUCCGCAAGGCCCUCCGUGCGGGGUCUCUGCUGGCCUGCUCCAUUGAUGUCUCCAGUGCAGCUGAAGCAGAAGCCAUCACUAGCCAGAAGCUGGUUAAGAGUCACGCCUACUCCAUCACUGGAGCGGAAGAGGUGGAUUUCCGGGGCCAUCGGGAGAAGCUGAUCCGACUCAGGAACCCCUGGGGCCAAGUGGAGUGGACGGGGGCCUGGAGCGACAAUGCACCAGAAUGGAAUUACAUAGAUCCCAGACAGAAAGAAGGGCUGGACAAGAAAGCCGAGGAUGGAGAGUUUUGGAUGUCUUUUUCGGAUUUCUUGAAGCAGUUCUCUCGACUGGAGAUCUGCAACCUCUCCCCCGACUCCCUGAGCAGCGAGGAGGUGCAGAAGUGGAAUCUGGUUCUGUUCAAUGGGCGCUGGACGCGGGGCUCCACGGCUGGCGGCUGCCAGAACUACCCAGCCACUUACUGGACCAAUCCGCAGUUCAAAAUCCAUCUGGACGAGGUGGAUGACCACCAGGAGGAGGGCAUUGCUGAAGCCUGCUGCACGGUGCUGCUGGGGCUGAUGCAGAAGAACCGUAGGCGACAGAAGAGGAUGGGACAGGGCCUGCUCAGCAUCGGCUAUGCUGUCUACCAGGUCCCCAAAGAGCUGGAGAGUCCCACGGACGCGCACCUGGGCCGGGACUUCUUCCUGGGCCGCCAGCCCUCCGCCCGCUCCAGCACCUACGUCAACCUGCGCGAGGUCUCCGCGCGCCUGCGCCUGCCGCCGGGGGCGUACGUGGUCGUGCCGUCCACCUUCGAGCCCUUCCGGGACGGCGACUUUUGCCUGCGGGUGUUCUCCGAGAAGAAGGCCGAGGCCCUGGAAAUUGGGGAUGUGGUAGCUGGAAACCCACAUGAGCCACACCCCAGCGAGGUGGCUCAAGAAGACGGUCCGCUCCAGAGCCUGUUUGAGAAGCUUGCAGGGAAGGAUUCUGAGCUUGGUGCCAAUGAACUCAAGAUGGCUCUGAAUGAGGUGUUUUCCAAGCGAUCUGACAUAAAAUUCAACGGCUUCGACAUCAACACUUGCAGGGAGAUGAUCAGCCUGAUGGAUAGCAAUGGGACAGGCACCUUGGGGCUGGUGGAAUUCAAGACGCUCUGGUGGAAGAUUGAGAAGUAUCUGGAGAUCUACCGGGAAACCGAUGCUAAGCACUUGGGGACCAUCGAUGCCCAUGAGAUGAGGGCGGCCCUCCAGAAGGCAGGUUUCACCCUCAACAACCAGGUACAGCAGACCAUCGUCACGCGGUAUGCAUGCAGCAAACUGGGCAUCGACUUUGACGGCUUCCUCGCUUGUAUGAUCCGCCUGGAGACCCUCUUCAAAAUCUUCAGCCUUCUGGACAAGGACCAGAACGGCAUCGUCCGGCUCUCUCUGGCUGAGACCUGCAUUUUGCCGGCAAAGGAAUCCCCCCUGUAUCCUGCCUGGUCCUGGAAGGCUCGCCUUGUGAUGUGGGGACAAAGCCCCGACUGUGAGUAAACUUGUAUGCUGCCUUGUUUUUCCUUUUUGUAUGAGGACCCCCCCGGGAGUCCGGGGCCCACCCUGGCCUCCUGCUCUUCUGUCUUGCAAGAGUUUCAGGGGUGGGGGUGGGACCUCUGGAGGGGGGGGCAGUCAGGUCCCAGGGCACCUGGGGGAGAUGCAGGUUUGGGACUUUGGUGGGAACAGGGUGACUCUGGAGGCC
rnacentral:lncRNA from 1 species